rnacentral:rRNA from 1 species
UACGUAGGGUGCGAGCGUUAAUCGGAAUUACUGGGCGUAAAGUGUGCGCAGGCGGUCGUUCAAGUCGAGUGUGAAAGCCCCCGGCUCAACUGGGGAGGGUCACUCGAUACUGAUCGACUUGAAGGCAGGAGAGGGAAGCGGAAUUCCCGGUGUAGUGGUGAAAUGCGUAGAUAUCGGGAGGAACACCAGUGGCGAAGGCGGCUUCCUGGCCUGUUCUUGACGCUGAGGCGCGAAAGCUAGGGGAGCAAACGGG